GAUUUCUCCGUCUCGUCGAUUCUUGUGUCGGCGAUAGCCUCGUUGUUCGACUAAAUCCUGGAUUCAUCAUUUUCUUGAAGCCGUUUUAGAUCGGAGUCCCAUUUUCUCCAGAGUAUCGGCCGGCGAGAAUCCGGGCUAGCAGGGAGAUCCGGAGAUGAGCGAGAACCCUAAUCCUCCCGCUGGGGAGUUGUUUGCUGCAGCGGACGCUGGCGGCCACGAGAUGGAGGACGGCCGGUAUGCGCCCGGGGAGAAUGAGAAGGUAGAGAUGGAGGGGCCUUCCGAACCGAGCAAUCAAGGGGACGCUAACGGGGGGACCAUGCCCGGCGCGGAUGCAGGUAGUCAGCUCGUCUUAUCGUUCCAAGGCAACGUCUACGUGGUCGACAACGUUUCUCCUGAAAAGGUUGAAGCUGUGAUGGUUUUGCUUGGGAGGCAGGAAAUGUGCAGAACAAGGUAUCUUGUGUAUCCAAAAUAAUUGGUUCGUUGACGAGCUUCAGAGAGAAGAAAAAAUCAAGGAAUUUUAAAAAUAAUAUACGUGGCGAAGUUCGCAAAGAGGACGCCCUUAGGAUGCAACGGGAUAAGGGUCGGUUCACAUCAUCUAAGACACAACAUGAAGAUCCCAAUUCUGGUGCCACCACUUCUGAUGCUACUGAAAAUGAUAGUUCAAGGACCAACCAGGAACCAGAAGUAUAUAAGUAAGCUUUUGAAAUUAGUAUCAUCGUAGUAUGAUAAACAUGGUUCUUUGUACUUGUACCUGGAGAUCGUAACCAUGGUAUUAUCACAUGAUAUAAUUCACGUGACAAAUUAUUUAAAAUCAACCAUAUUGUGAUAUAAUCUCACACAAUUUGAUUGAGAAAAUAGAUAUCUCUUUUCAUAUUUUGUCAGAUGUCUUAACUGUGGAAUCAGUGCGAUAUCGACACCAGUGAUGUGUCGUGGACCUAAUGGACCUAGAACAUUGUGCAAUGCGUGCGGACUUGCAUGGGCAAAUAAGGUGCUUAGGACAUGUUUUUUUUCGUCUUUAUUUUAUUGCUUCUUCAAUCAUUUUCAUUUUCCAUUGCGACAGAUCUUUUAUUUUGCUACUAGGUAUUUUUGAACACUUUCAGAUGUCUCUAAAAUCAGUUCAGCUUUGCAAAUUC